ACCUCAUAAAAUGCUAAUUAAAAUGUCCUAUAUAUCAUGGGGAAGUAAAGUACAACAUAGGGAAAGAACCUAAUAAAGUUACACUUGAAGAAUAGACGCUGCUGACAGGUGACAGGCAGGCCGCAGGUUUUAGGUGCAAUCCCCCUGGAAGGUAGGUGGGGCCGGGAGUCACGCUGCUUCCUCUUUGCUUCUUCUCCGCCUCAGGUUCACUGCAUCAGCACUGAGUUCACUCCUCGGAAAAAGGGUGGAGAGAAAGGCGUCCCCUUCCGCCUCCAGAUUGACACUUUCAAGCCCAGUGACAAGGGGCUUCCACCUGAACACCUACAUUCGGCCGGCUGCCUCAUCAAGGUGUUCAAGCCCAAAGGAGCUGACCGGAAACUGAAAACCGACCGGGAGAAGGUUGAGAAACAGCCCCUGCACGAGAGAGACAAGUAUCAGGCUGCCUGUGAGAGCACGGUCUUCGUGGAGGACGAUCACAGCCCCCCGGGAUUCCACCCGUUUCCUGCAAAGACCAACUUCAAGACUCCCUGGAGCGGCCACCUUCCAGGCCGCCUCUCCUGCGCCUGCCAUCGCUGCCACCUCACUGCUGCUCCCUCUGCCCAGAGCAGCUGCUUCCCUGCUGCUGCUUCUGCCAGCUCCGCCGGAAGCCUGCCCAACCUCCCCAGGCAGCCCUGCAGGCUAGUUUGCUCUCUUGCUUAGUGUGGAAACUAGAUCUGCUUGUCAGCUAAUUUUGUAGAUGCCAACAUUUUAAAAAAGUGUUUUUAUUGAUAUUA